rnacentral:lncRNA from 10 species
CGUCUUCUGCGUCGCUCAGGCUGGGAGCUGUAGACCGGAGCUGUUCCUAUUCGGCCAUCUUGGCUCCUCCUCUCGUGAACUGUCUCUACCUGUGGGGAUGGACAGCAGCAUCUAGCCUAGAGGAACCCUCUGAGAGUUGGAACAUUAGUUGGAGUCAGAAGACCUGGGAGCGGCUCACACCUGUAAUCCCAGCACUUUGGGAGGCUGAGGCAGGUGGAUCAUGAGGUCAGGAGUUCAAGACCAGCUUGGCCAACAUAGUGAAAACCCGUCUCUACUAAAAAUACAAAAAUUAGCCGGGCAUAGUGGCCCGUGCCUGUAGUCCCAGCUGCUCAGGAGGCUGAGGCAGGGGAAUCAUUUGAACCUGGGAGGUGGAGGUUGCAGUGAGCCGAGAUCUCACCACUGCACUCCAGCCUGGAGAGCGAGACUCUGCCUCAAAAAAAAAAAAAAAAAAAAAAAAAAAAAAACAACAAAAAACAAAACAAAACAAAACAAAAAAAACCUUGGAGCUAGACCUGUGUCUAUCCCUAUUCUCCACUUAGGUUUGCAAUCCAUUUUAGCUUUUAAGCCUUGUUUUGUUUGAAUGUAGAAUGAGAGUGAAUAAUACCUUUAACCUUUCUAAUUACAAGGAUACUGCAAAGACAAAUGAAACAACAAAGCAUCCAGCAGAAAAACAUCCUGUUUUUUUUUGUUUUGUUUUUGUUUUUUUCUUUUUUAAAUACAGACAGAGUCUUGCUCUGUCGCCCAGGCUGGAGUGCAGUGGCGUGAUCUCGGCUCACUGCCAACCUCUGCCGCCUGGGUUCAAGCGAUUCUCUUGCCUCAGC